rnacentral:rRNA from 1 species
UACGUAGGUGACAAGCGUUGUCCGGAUUUACUGGGCGUAAAGAGCGCGCAGGCGGUCGAUCAAGUCGAGUGUGAAAGCCCCCGGCUCAACUGGGGAGUGUCGUGCGAUACGGUCGGACUGGAGGCCAGUAGGGGGAUGCGGAAUUCCGGGUGUAGUGGUGGAAUGCGUAGAGAUCCGGAGGAACACCAGCGGCGAAGGCGGCAUCCUGGACUGGUCCUGACACUCAUGAGCGAAAGCGUGGGGAGCAAACAGG